UUUUUUUUGAGAAAGGAAAGGGAGUCUCUUUGUUAUAGUCUCUUCAUUUUUAUAACAUGAUGAGGAAUAUCUAUCUCAAACCCACAAUCAACAUCAGCCUUCAUGGUAAAACUCUACGGGCUUUCCCUGAAGACUGGGAGCAAGACGACAAUGGCACGAUUAUCACUCCCAUUUUACAGAGGAGGAAAGGGAGGCUUACAGAGCCUUCCGUAACUUGCCCAAGGAACUGACAAGUGGCGAGUCCGAGGUUUUAUGGGUUCUACGUGACCACUGACUCUGUUAUCCAAUGCGUGGAAACACCAAGGGCUCCCAGUAAGUGGUAAUAACCGUUCAGCACAGACAAGACCAUGUCCUCAUCUUCAUUUGAUCAACACUUCCCCACCAGCGGUCACUGUGGCUGAGUGGCCCAGAGCUUUAGGGCACACGAGAGGAUCUUGUGAGCUGUCAGUCCUCUAAACCUGGCGUGCCUGUCCCACUCAGAGCGCAUCUCAGCCGGGACCAGCACUCAGGAGCCACGUGCUGCUUGUGGCUGCCAUGCCAGACCGUGUGGCUCUGGGGGCAGAGGCCACGGGGGAGAAAGGAGAGGGAAGAGAGGAUGACAGAGGGCGCAAGGAAGGCCAGAGCCGUGCCCUGUCCACCGCUGGACAACAAAGGCCGAUCUUCACAGCAUCCCCACUUUGAGGCAUUUCAUGAAGCGACAGGCCUGGCAGGACUUGCGCCUCCGCUUGGUGAUCUCGCACUCGUUGGUGGCUGGGCAGCUGUACUCGAUGUUCCCUGCAACCAGACACAGAGAGCGUUGCCAGGCGCCACCACCCACGGCCCGGUGAAAGGCUGGAUGGGGAUUAAUAAGCCGGACCCGCAGCUCCCCCACCCUGAGGAUCCCCCAGGGAAGGGUUCUCAAAGUAGGUGCUCCGAGGCGCUUAUCAGCAUGCUUCGCGUCAAACUCUCUUCCACGCGGAAGUCAGGGUGGGCCAGGCGGCCGCUCAGAGAAACACUCUCCAGAGAAUGGCCCCCCACCGUUUUGAAGCCACCGCUUAGAUGGGAUGUCAAAACUCAUGAGCCAGCAUUUUAGCCCAGGAGAAGAACGCCCCUGUACGGACCAGACAUCAGCACAGACCACCACCACUCUGGCCUCCAGCCCGGGCCCCUGACACACGGAAAGAGCCUCUUGGAACUCCGAGCCCACGGGCAUCAGGCCUCGGUUCUGCAUCCACGGGGAGGUGCAGGCCACCCAGCUUUGCUGACCUGGAGGACAUCACUUUCCUCUCAACCACGUUGAAAUGUCCUCCUCUGCAAAACAGCGUGCUAUCUACACAGCGAAGGAUUAAGCAAGGCCACCUAUGGAACAUGGCUUUAGCAUCUGUAAAGCUCUAUUCGACGCGAGGUGGUCAUUUUAUAAGCAUAGUUCAUACGGCAGAGGGAAUGUGGGAUUAAUUUUCCAGGUCACUCCUUAAACGGGUUAUAAUGAUGGCUACCGUGAACCUGACCUCACGCUCCUGGGAGCUGUCGGGGAGCCCACGAGGGCAGGACUCUAGCAGCACAGAGGUGAGAGGAACGCGGCCAGGGACUCGUCUACUCAGUCCUUCCCAGGGGCAAUCCAGGAAGAAGGUACUAAUGCUAACCCCAUUUUACAGACAUCGACCUCCCGAGGGUACAGGGAGAAGUUUGAGGCCUACCUGUCCUCUGAAUCCUGCACAAGACACCCCAUUCCCGUUAUAGCCAUGACAGCUGAGAUGUAUUGUGCACCUCCUGUAUGCACAACCUGCAGCAGCUCCCUCGGUCCUCACAACGACCCUCGGAGGUAGGCACGUCACUGGCCCAUUUCACAGACUAAGAAACUGAGACUUGGGGAGCAGAAUCGAGUUACCCAAUGCCACACAGAGCCACGCUUGCAUCUCACAAGGAGCUUGGGGAGAUUGGAAGUGCCGCCCCCCAAGGAAGGCCCCUGCCGCUAACCCAGCAGUGGAGGGAGUCUGGUGGCCAUCAGGGGAGGACAGCGUCCUUGGGCUUCCCUGUGCUGCAGCCUGCCCAUGGGGAUUUUCUGGGGACGGGUAUGAACUAUGCCCCACCACUAACAGAGCGCUUCCCAGUAGCGAGAUCACUCAACAGGCUUCAUUGUCCCGAGCGCCCACGACAGCGCAUGAGCGUUCUUGUCCCCAGUUUAACUGGCGAGGAAAUGGAUUUCCCCAGAGCACCUUGGAGAUCUGCAGGGAGGGAAGGCUAUUCUCUCUCUCAAGUCCACGGUGCCACCUUCCCUCUGUCCCACCUCCUACAGCGAGGGGCUGGGGAUGGGAGGGGGUGGAGAAUGGGAGGUGAUGAGAAGGGGAAGGGGUGAAGAUUCUGGGCCCUCCCCCUCUUGUAUCUAAC